AAAGUCAUGGUUAAGUGGGAAACGAUGUGGGAAGGCCCAGACAGCCAGGAUGUUGGCUUAGAAGCAGCCAUCAUUUAAAGAAAGCGUAAUAGCUCACUGGUCGAGUCGGCCUGCGCGGAAGAUGUAACGGGGCUAAACCAUGCACCGAAGCUGCGGCAGCGACACUCAGGUGUUGUUGGGUAGGGGAGCGUUCUGUAAGCCUGCGAAGGUGGCCUGUGAGGGUUGCUGGAGGUAUCAGAAGUGCGAAUGCUGACAUAAGUAACGAUAAAGCGGGUGAAAAGCCCGCUCGCCGGAAGACCAAGGGUUCCUGUCCAACGUUAAUCGGGGCAGGGUGAGUCGACCCCUAAGGCGAGGCCGAAAGGCGUAGUCGAUGGGAAACGGGUUAAUAUUCCCGUACUUGGUGUUACUGCGAAGGGGGGACGGAGAAGGCUAUGUUGGCCGGGCGACGGUUGUCCCGGUUUAAGCGUGUAGGUGUGUGUUCCAGGUAAAUCCGGUUCACUUUAACACUGAGGCGUGAUGACGAGGCACUACGGUGCUGAAGCAACAAAUGCCCUGCUUCCAGGAAAAGCCUCUAAGCAUCAGGUAACAUCAAAUCGUACCCCAAACCGACACAGGUGGUCAGGUAGAGAAUACCAAGGCGCUUGAGAGAACUCGGGUGAAGGAACUAGGCAAAAUGGUGCCGUAACUUCGGGAGAAGGCACGCUGACACGUAGGUGAAGUGAUUUACUCAUGGAGCUGAAGUCAGUCGAAGAUACCAGCUGGCUGCAACUGUUUAUUAAAAACACAGCACUGUGCAAACACGAAAGUGGACGUAUACGGUGUGACGCCUGCCCGGUGCCGGAAGGUUAAUUGAUGGGGUCAGCGCAAGCGAAGCUCCUGAUCGAAGCCCCGGUAAACGGCGGCCGUAACUAUAACGGUCCUAAGGUAGCGAAAUUCCUUGUCGGGUAAGUUCCGACCUGCACGAAUGGCGUAAUGAUGGCCAGGCUGUCUCCACCCGAGACUCAGUGAAAUUGAACUCGCUGUGAAGAUGCAGUGUACCCGCGGCAAGACGGAAAGACCCCGUGAACCUUUACUAUAGCUUGACACUGAACAUUGAGCCUUGAUGUGUAGGAUAGGUGGGAGGCUUUGAAGUGUGGACGCCAGUCUGCAUGGAGCCGGCCUUGAAAUACCACCCUUUAAUGUUUGAUGUUCUAACGUGGACCCGUGAUCCGGGUUGCGGACAGUGUCUGGUGGGUAGUUUGACUGGGGCGGUCUCCUCCUAAAGAGUAACGGAGGAGCACGAAGGUUGGCUAAUCCUGGUCGGACAUCAGGAGGUUAGUGCAAUGGCAUAAGCCAGCUUGACUGCGAGCGUGACGGCGCGAGCAGGUGCGAAAGCAGGUCAUAGUGAUCCGGUGGUUCUGAAUGGAAGGGCCAUCGCUCAACGGAUAAAAGGUACUCCGGGGAUAACAGGCUGAUACCGCCCAAGAGUUCAUAUCGACGGCGGUGUUUGGCACCUCGAUGUCGGCUCAUCACAUCCUGGGGCUGAAGUAGGUCCCAAGGGUAUGGCUGUUCGCCAUUUAAAGUGGUACGCGAGCUGGGUUUAGAACGUCGUGAGACAGUUCGGUCCCUAUCUGCCGUGGGCGCUGGAGAACUGAGGGGGGCUGCUCCUAGUACGAGAGGACCGGAGUGGACGCAUCACUGGUGUUCGGGUUGUCAUGCCAAUGGCACUGCCCGGUAGCUAAAUGCGGAAGAGAUAAGUGCUGAAAGCAUCUAAGCACGAAACUUGCCCCGAGAUGAGUUCUCCCUGAGACUUUAGGUCUCCUGAAGGAACGUUGAAGACGACGACGUUGAUAGGCCGGGUGUGUAAGCGCAGCGAUGCGUUGAGCUAACCGGUACUAAUGAACCGUGAGGCUUAACCUUACA
rnacentral:rRNA from 1 species